rnacentral:rRNA from 1 species
GGCUAACGCUGGCGGCGUGCUUAGCCAUGCAAGUCGAGCGGACUUAUGGGGUAACUUAUAAGUCAGCGGCGGACGGCGGAGUAACACGUAGCUAACCUACCCUCUGGACGGGGAUAACCUACCGAAAGGUGGGCUAAUACCCGAUGUAGUCAUCCUGUAUAGGGGUGAUGAAAGGUGGGCUUCUGUUUACAAGCUCAUGCUGGAGGAGGGGGCUGCGGCCUAUCAGGUAGUUGGUAGGGUAAUAGCCUACCAAGCCGAUGACGGGUAGCCGGCCUGAGAGGGUGACCGGCCCGAGGGGCACUGAGAUACGGGUCCCACUCCUACGGGAGGCAGCAGGCUAGAAAUUUGGGCAAUGGGGGAAACCCUGACCCAGUGACGCCGCGUGCAGGAAGGAGCCCUUCGGGGUGUAAACUGCUGUCGUGUAGGGAGAAGGGUACUAAGGUGAACAAUCUUAGUACUUGACGGUACUACAGGAGGAAGCCCAGGCUAACCUCGUG